rnacentral:rRNA from 1 species
UACGUAGGUGGCAAGCGUUGUCCGGAUUUACUGGGCGUAAAGAGCGCGCAGGCGGUCGUUCAAGUCGCGUGUGAAAGCCCCCGGCUCAACUGGGGAGGGUCACGCGAUACUGAUCGACUCGAAGGCAGGAGAGGGAAGUGGAAUUCCCGGUGUAGUGGUGAAAUGCGUAGAUAUCGGGAGGAACACCUGUGGCGAAAGCGGCGCACUGGACCACAACUGACGCUGAGCGCGAAAGCGUGGGGAGCAAACAGG